AGCCCUGUGGUGCUUCACGCUAGAGUGCAAAUCUAGAGACGAACACGGAGGUGUUCCGGGGCUU
rnacentral:tRNA from 1 species